ACAGGUUUACGUUAAAGUAAGUCGAGGCGACGUGCAUACCCAAAAGACACCCGAUCCAAGGUGAAACGGAUAACGACUCCGAGCACCGUCUUGUGAGUAACCAUGGCAACGUCAGCGAAAUCUUAUACUGCGGAAUACAGACACUGCCUGAGUUGAGCUUGAAUUCAUGUUUAUCCCGCGAGGGGAAGCCGAUAACUUGGCAUAUUUAUAUUAUUAUAAAAUAGUUUUGUUUGUCGCAGUUAGGGAUACGAGAGUGUGUAAACAAGUGGAAGUAUAGUGGUAAGGUGCUUUGGUGCCGGAGACGUCGUGUGAAGAGGGAAGAGCCUAAGGACCCAACCUGACGUUAACAGGUAAAAAAUAAUAAAAUUUAAUUGGCGAUUGAAAAUAAUCGACAAAAUAAAUAAAUGUGGAAGUAAAUAGUAUUGCUAGUUAGACAAAAUAUGUACAUAAAGAAACUAGUAUAUUAGAAAAUUUUAGUCCAUCAUUGAAAACAUGAAUGCAGUAAACACUUUACGGUAUCGGUACCCAAGCAAACAGUAUAUGGAAAAGACAUUAAUUUAGUAAGUUGCAAUAUCAUUAAAAUUUUGAAAUUGUUACUGUGGACUGUGGGUGAAGUCAAGUGUUGAGCUGACAAUGACAAGGGGUGGAGGGUGUCAGCACAUCAAACAGAUGUGGUGACCCGAGACAGGGAAUUUUGAGAUUUGCUCAGUGAAAAGCGAGGUACAAAAAAAUUGGACUUGGUUGAAGAGCGAGUGUUGUGUUCAUGCACAGAGUGUGUUGGAGUGUGGUCAAGUCUUUUCCACUAGCAAGCAGGCAGGCAUCAUCGGCGAAGAGCUUGGUUAGAAGAUUAGAGCAGUUCGACAAGUCAUUUACAGAGAGUAAAAAAGCCAAAGGCCCGAUAAUUGAACCCUGGACAAUUCCGCACUGAAUGGGCAACAUUGGGGACUUAUGAGAACCUAAUUCAACAAAUUGAAAACGACCACUCAGGUUCAAUAUUAUUUGGUGAACCUCGGAAGGUGUCGUUUGCUCCAGAAAAAAAGAGUGCUGUGAGGGAGCACUCAAGAAAGCUUUGAAAGAUUUCUUGCUAUGUGGAAUAUUGUCAGCGAGUUUCUUUCCUACAGAUGAAAAGAAUUUGUUGAAUUCGGCGGAUAUUCUGGCGGGGUCGGAAACUGUGGCACCAUUUUCAAGCUCCAAUUCAGAGACGAUGGAUUCAUUUUUGGACCUAACUCUAAUAAUGUCAUUGAUAGUUUUCCAAGUGUGCUUCACAUCCCCUCUGUUGUUUUCAAGGAUAUUAUGAUCGACUCAACCUCCAAUCUGAACAGGUCAACACAAAAUUUAGUCAUGUCACGUUUCAUGCGAGUGUUUG